rnacentral:rRNA from 1 species
GAUGAACGCUGGCGGUAUGCUUAACACAUGCAAGUCGAACGGACUCUUCGGAGUUAGUGGCGGACGGGUGAGUAACGCGUGAGAAUCUGGCUUUGGGUUCGGGACAACCACUGGAAACGGUGGCUAAUACCGGAUGUGCCGAGAGGUGAAAGAGAAAUUGCCUGAAGAUGAGCUCGCGUCUGAUUAGCUAGUUGGUGAGGUAAAGGCUCACCAAGGCAGCGAUCAGUAGCUGGUCUGAGAGGAUGACCAGCCACACUGGGACUGAGACACGGCCCAGACUCCUACGGGAGGCAGCAGUGGGGAAUUUUCCGCAAUGGGCGAAGGCCUGACGGAGCAAUACCGCGUGAGGGAAGAAGGCUCUUGGGUUGUAAACCUCUUUUCUUAGGGAAGAACAAAAUGACGGUACCUAAGGAAUCAGCAUCGGCUAACUCCGUG